rnacentral:rRNA from 1 species
UACGUAGGGUGCAAGCGUUGUCCGGAAUUAUUGGGCGUAAAGAGCUCGUAGGCGGUUCGUCGCGUCGGCUGUGAAAACCCGGGGCUCAACCUCGGGCCUGCAGUCGAUACGGGCGGACUUGAGUGCGGUAGGGGAGACUGGAAUUCCUGGUGUAGCGGUGAAAUGCGCAGAUAUCAGGAGGAACACCGGUGGCGAAGGCGGGUCUCUGGGCAGUAACUGACGCUGAGGAGCGAAAGCGUGGGGAGCGAGCAGG